GACGAACGCUGGCGGCGUGCUUAACACAUGCAAGUCGAACGAAGUGGCGAACGGGUGAGUAAUACGUGAGUAACCUGCCAUCCUUUUUGGGAUAAGCCUUGGAAACGGGGUCUAAUACCGAAUAAAGGGGGAUGGGCUCGCGGCCUAUCAGCUUGUUGGUGGGGUGAUGGCCUACCAAGGCGGUGACGGGUAGCCGGCCUGAGAGGGUGGACGGCCACAUUGGGACUGAGACACGGCCCAGACUCCUACGGGAGGCAGCAGUGGGGAAUAUUGCACAAUGGGCGGAAGCCUGAUGCAGCGACGCCGCGUGGGGGAUGACGGCCUUCGGGUUGUAAACUCCUUUCACCAUCGACGCGGUAGAUGGAGAAGAAGCACCGGCUAACUACGUGCCAGCCGCCGCGGUAAUUC
rnacentral:rRNA from 1 species